rnacentral:misc_RNA from 1 species
AAGUCGUAACAAGGUCUCCGUUGGUGAACAAGCGGAGGGAUCAUUACAGAGUUAAUAAACUCCCAACCCAUGUGAACUUACCUAUGUUGCCUCGGCGGGAGAGCCUACCCGGUACCUACCCUGUAGUUACCGGGAGCGAGCUACCCUGUAGCCCGCUGCUGGCCGACCCGCCGGUGGACAGUAAAACUCUUGUUUUUAGUGGAUUAUCUGAGUGUUUAUACUUAAUAAGUUAAAA